rnacentral:lncRNA from 1 species
ACCCGUAUACAGUCCCACAUCACCUGCAUAUAGUCCCACAUCACCUGCAUAUAGUCCUACCUCGCCAUCAUACAGUCCGACUUCUCCUUCCUACAGCCCGACCUCUCCCUCGUACAGCCCGACUUCUCCUUCAUACAGCCCCACAUCACCAUCGUACAGCCCAACUUCGCCUGCUUAUAGCCCCACUUCCCCAGGUUACAGCCCAACCUCCCCAAGCUAUAGUCCGACCUCCCCAAGCUAUAGUCCGACCUCCCCAAGCUACAAUCCUCAGUCAGCAAAGUACAGUCCAUCGCUGGCAUACUCACCUAGCAGUCCAAGGUUGUCAC